UCCAGACUCCUACGGGAGGCAGCAGUGGGGAAUAUUGCACAAUGGGGGGAACCCUGAUGCAGCAAUGCCGCGUGGGUGAAGAAGCACUCCGGUGCGUAAAGCCCUGUCAGCAGGGAAGAAAAUGACAGUACCUGACCAAGAAGCCCCGGCUAACUACGUGCCAGCAGCCGCGGUAAUACGUAGGUGGCAAGCGUUGUCCGGAAUUACUGGGUGUAAAGGGAGCGUAGGCGGGAAGCCAAGUCAGCUGUGAAAACUACGGGCUUAACCUGUAGACUGCAGUUGAAACUGGCUUUCUUGAGUGAAGUAGAGGUUGGCGGAAUUCCGAGUGUAGCGGUGAAAUGCGUAGAUAUUCGGAGGAACACCGGUGGCGAAGGCGGCCAACUGGGCGUUAACUGACGCUGAGGCUCGAAAGUGUGGGGAGCAAACAGGAUUAGAUACCCUCGUAUCC
rnacentral:rRNA from 1 species